rnacentral:snoRNA from 1 species
UGCCCGAGCUGAGCAGAGUGGCAUCUGGUUGGCAGUGCCCAUCUCAUAACAGCCAGGGACAAAGCAACCCUAUUUGUCCCAGCUUGGCUUUUGGUCUGUGCCCAUACAUGGUUCAUGCCUUGGACACGUGG